CGGGGUCAUGCUGUCAAAUGGUGUCAAUGCAGUUAAAAGCUCCCAUAGCACUAUGCCAAAACUAUAAACGUCGACCUUCUUUGUGUGAUGUUUCUCUUUAAUCAUUUCAGGAGCCAUCCAACGGUAUGUCCCCAUAAAUCCCUUUGCACUACCACACUGAGAUUCCAAGCACGAGAUGCCAAAAUCAGCAACUUUAACACACAUAUCUUCUCCGAGCAGUAAAUUUUCUGAUUUCAGAUCCCUAUGAAGUACCCCUUGCGAAUGAAGAUACUGCAUUCCCCGUGCAAUGUCAAGACCUAAUUUCAGAACUAGGUUGAGUGGAACUGAAUGCGGCUCUUGCUGGUGGAGAUAUUUUCUCAAUGAGCCUCCAGCCAAAUACUCAGUGAUUAUACAAAACACAGGAGGUUUCUUGCAAGCUGCAACAAAAGUGACUAUAUUAGGAUGGCUUAACCGAAAAAGCAGAGCCACCUCUGAACUAAACUGCCUCUCAAGCGUAGCAGCCAAGUCCUCGUCCUCUUCAGGUUGGCUUAUGAUCUUAAUUGCCACGUCUCUUUGCUUAUAAAUACCUCUAUAAAUUCUACUAUGCCUCCCUGAUGCAAAUUUGUUACCAAUAAACAACUGGGACAUAUCUGCACUCCAUUCUACCUCGCCCUCUCCCUUAAUCUCUGCCCCAGACGACACCAAAUACUUGGACCAAGAAACUGCAUUAUUGUACUCUCCAAGAGAGAGUCUCCUUCCUGAUCUGCCAUUGUUGGAGAUUUGCUUAAAAAAGGAAAAAAUUUUCAUGGGUCUGAACCAAACUUAACAAAAUCAUCAAAUUUUUGAUCUCUUAGCCUCUAGAAACUAAUGUGGAAAGAAGAAGGCCACAAAAUUCAAAGUGAAACCACCACUUGAAUGUGAUCCGAUGAGCAAAUUUUGAACUGGCAAGCAUUGAAACUAUUUCUCUCUCAACUACAUUUUGAAAAAAAGCUUCUUUAUUCAUGUAUUGAAACGUUGAUUAAAAUGGGUAAAGUAAAACACAGAAAGAAAAGGCUCUAAUCAACCAUUUAAAUUAAUUCACGUUAAUUUGAAAAUUGAAAAACUGCCUAUCAUAUCAAAAUCAAAAUAAUAAGUUGGCUAGUUUUGCAGCAGAAACAAAAGUCAUUCUUUAGCUAAGAGAGAGAGAGAGAGAGAG
rnacentral:misc_RNA from 1 species